rnacentral:rRNA from 1 species
AGUGGCGGACGGGUGAGUAACGCGUGAGGAACCUGCCUUGAAGAGGGGGACAACAGUUGGAAACGACUGCUAAUACCGCAUGACGCAUAGGGAUCGCAUGAUCUUUAUGCCAAAGAUUUAUCGCUUCAAGAUGGCCUCGCGUCUGAUUAGCUAGUUGGCGGGGUAACGGCCCACCAAGGCGACGAUCAGUAGCCGGACUGAGAGGUUGAACGGCCACAUUGGGACUGAGAUACGGCCCAGACUCCUACGGGAGGCAGCAGUGGGGAAUAUUGGGCAAUGGGCGCAAGCCUGACCCAGCAACGCCGCGUGAAGGAAGAAGGCUUUCGGGUUGUAAACUUCUUUUAAGAGGGAAGAGCAGAAGACGGUACCUCUAGAAUAAGCCACGGCUAACUACGUGCCAGCAGCCGCGGUAAUACGUAGGUGGCAAGCGUUGUCCGGAUUUACUGGGUGUAAAGGGCGUGCAGCCGGGUCUGCAAGUCAGAUGUGAAAUCCAUGGGCUCAACCCAUGAACUGCAUUUGAAACUGUAGAUCUUGAGUGUCGGAGGGGCAAUCGGAAUUCCUAGUGUAGCGGUGAAAUGCGUAGAUAUUAGGAGGAACACCAGUGGCGAAGGCGGAUUGCUGGACGAUAACUGACGGUGAGGCGCGAAAGUGUGGGGAGCAAACAGGAUUAGAUACCCUGGUAGUCCACACUGUAAACGAUGAAUACUAGGUGUGCGGGGACUGACCCCC